AUUAUAACCAGGAAUGUUUUGUGUUUCUGAUGGGAAAUACCAAAAUCCUUCGGAGACUGUAGAGCUCAGAGCUCUACAGAACUCCGAAUCCAGCAGACACGGCUGAGGAAAACAGGAGUGUAACAGGAAGAGAAGAGGAGGAAAAGACUGUAAUUUAUCAUUCACUGUUCUAGUGCAGUAGCGAGACCAAAAGAGCACUGCAAGCUUUCACUCAAGCAAAAUUGCUUCUGAGAAAAAUGUGAAAGAAAAGCCUUCCAAGAUAAAGGCUCUCAAAGGAAGGUGCUCAGUGAGAUUGUCUUGCCCGCGGAUCGCUGCAUCGAUUCACCCAGCACUGUUCUUCCGCUCCAUCUUGUUCUAACCUCGUCUCUAAAUGGUGGAAAACAUCUAAAACACAUCCUCUACAGCCCUGCUUUGAAGCGUUUCACACAAUCACACUCUGGCGUUCGUGUAUCCGUGUUUGAAGCGUCCCCAGGCUCCAGUGGACAGUUAGGACGACGUGGUUGGCACGGUGUGUUGAUGCAGACGGCUUUGUUUAACAACGUGCUUGACCGUGUUUUAUAAUGCUGUUCUCCCCGCUUGAUAAAAUGCUCAGGGCUGAGUCUCCCAAAAACAUCACCAGGUUAAGAUCAUUAACUGGGAGAGAGAGAGAGAGAGAGAGAGAGAGAGUGUUCAAUGUAAGGCACUCUCGACCGUUUAAGUGAGGCUUUUGGGAAACUGGGCUCUGCUCUGUUUAUUGACGCAUUCAGCUGGAGAUGUAGGACUCGUGUUAAUGUCUCACUAGAUAUGUCCACGGCCUCAGCCGAGAGGCUGACACAAUGCACGAAUGGAACCAGUUAAAGUCAGUUAACGCUUGGCCUUAAAAACAAUUUGAUGGUUUUCAGUAUCAGUCUUACAUGUCCUCUUAUGAGUCAGUGUUGACUCAUCCUGCUCUUCGACCCGUGACGAAGCCGGUCUUGACUGCGGCCCUGUUCUCAU
ensembl:lncRNA